rnacentral:rRNA from 1 species
AUUGAACGCUGGCGGCAGGCUUAACACAUGCAAGUCGAGCGGAGAUGAGGUGCUUGCACCUUAUCUUAGCGGCGGACGGGUGAGUAAUGCUUAGGAAUCUGCCUAUUAGUGGGGGACAACAUUCCGAAAGGAAUGCUAAUACCGCAUACGCCCUACGGGGGAAAGCAGGGGAUCUUCGGACCUUGCGCUAAUAGAUGAGCCUAAGUCGGAUUAGCUAGUUGGUGGGGUAAAGGCCUAGCAAGGCGACGAUCUGUAGCGGGUCUGAGAGGAUGAUACGCCACACUGGGACUGAGACACGGCCCAGACUCCUACGGGAGGCAGCAGUGGGGAAUAUUGGACAAUGGGGGGAACCCUGAUCCAGCCAUGCCGCGUGUGUGAAGAAGGCCUUAUGGUUGUAAAGCACUUUAAGCGAGGAGGAGGCUACUGAGACUAAUACUCUUGGAUAGUGGACGUUACUCGCAGAAUAAGCACCGGCUAACUCUGUGCCAGCCGCCGCGGUAAUAC